CUUGCUGUAUCUAAAGGUGUCCGUGGACUGGAUCGGGUCUGGAUAGUUGAUAAAUUGUAUCCGUACCUUAAAAAGAAAUGGUUAGAAAAAAAAAUAUAUCCUACCCAUUUAACAUUGGGUUGGGUCCGGCUCUGGAUACUUAAGUUACUAAUAUAUCUAUCGGGUCUAUAUGAACAGGUUUGGGUAGUGACUAUCCGUAUACUACCCGUUCAAAAUCGGUUACGGAUCGGGUAUAUAUA
rnacentral:lncRNA from 1 species